ACCCGGCUGGCUCAGUCAGUAGAGCAUGUGACUCUUGAUCUAGGGGUUGUAGGUUCAAGCCCCACGUUGGGUG
rfam:Felis catus isolate Cinnamon breed Abyssinian chromosome X, whole genome shotgun sequence.